AAAAAAGGGAACCUUUGAGAGAGACGGACGGAGUUUGGUGUUUCGAACCCCAGACCUGGCUUGAUGAUGAAGAAGGUGCUGCAGCAGGAGGAAGAUGUUGAUCGAUGAAGGCCAGGAUCUCCGUAGGUCUGAUGAUGAAGAAGGUGCUGCAGCAGGAGGAGGAAGUUGAUCAGCGAAGGCAGGAAUCUCUGUAGGUCUGAUGAUGAAGAAGGUGCUGCAGCAGGAGGAAGAUGUUGAUCGAUGAAGGCCAGGAUCUCCGUAGGUCUGAUGAUGAAGAAGGUGCUGCAGCAGGAGGAGGAAGUUGAUCAGCGAAGGCAGGAAUCUCUGUAGGUCUGAUGAGCUUCUUCUCCGCAUGGAUGGUGAGGUCA